GGCCCUGUGGUCCUGGCCUGGCCUCCUUUGGGACAGAGAUCCUAUGAUUGAGUCUCCCAAAUGCCCUGCCAAUCUGCUGCUCAAGCUCCUUGCUUGCCCUUCUGUAUUUCCUCUGAAGUAUAUUUUGUUGCCAUUUUCCGGUCAAAUAUUUUAAAACUUAGAUAUUUGGUUUUUAGUGGUUCCUUUGUGAAUUCAGUUCUUCCUCUAAAGGUACUCUCUUUUAUGUUAUGUGGAAUUUGUUGCUGGAUUGCCCUGUCACCACCACCAAAGGCUCAGAUAUUCUUUCUUCUCCAAUUUAACUCCAGUUUGUCAGCUGCUGAGUGGUGUAAAAUUCUUUUGCCGAGGAACAAGACCAUCCCAGUCAACUCCAUCCCACAGCCUGGCCAGUCAGCAGAGCGGACACCAUCUUAGGCCUCUUAUUUUUUCUUUUGCCCAAGUGUCUGAAAGGAGCAUCCUCUUUAAUUUAAGCCUACAUGUGGAGUAAUGACGAAGAAGCAGCAUAACAUUUUUGGAAAGCAAUGUGGAAAAAUAUAUCUCAAGCCAGAAAGAUGUUUGUACCAUUUUAUCCAGUAAUCCCACACUUGGAAUUUAUCCUAGAGAAAUAGAUCAACAGAAGAAAAAGCAGCAGCAGUGUAUGAAGCUCCGUGCUAUGAGACAGUGGAGACAAACUGGAUGCCAAACACAAUGAACAUCCUUGCCUGUGACUCCCGAACAACAUAAACAGCUGUUUCUUGAAGACAGACAAGGAAGAGUAAAAUGGUUGGGAGAGAGAGAGUCUAUACAUUAAUGUCCAGCACCGAGUGAGCCCUUGUGAAGUGUGGACCUUGGAGAGCAUGUCAAGCAGUCUCAUUCAUUUUAACAAAUGCACCGUACUGGUGGGGGAUGAGGAGAAAGGACCAGGUGGGGGCACAAGGAAGAAUGCUGCAACCUGUUUCCUGAGAUGAAGUAUGGCUCUUAGAGACGGGCAUUUGGUGCACAGACUUCGGCCGGAAUACCUUUGCUCCUCCACACGGCUAUGCACACAUCAUUGAAGCCGGCGCAGUCGCCCACCCCUGAGCUCAUCUUCCAGAGUUCAAUCUGCGUACUUUGGACUGGGCCUGUGUACCGACUGGAAGACAAAUGGAGGAAGUGCAAUUUUUCUAUAAUCACUCUAAUUCCUUCUUUGAUGUUCUUUUACAAUUUUCUCCCACGUGCAACAAGACACAUGAUAACAUCUGAACCACAUUCUACUCUAACAACACUAGGAAGCCAUAGCACUGCUAAGGGAGAAAGGUUUAUAUAAUAAUUCCCUUCCAUAACAAGGGGAAAUCAAGGUAGAAAAGGUUGUUGUUGAGCCAACAGUGGUUUUUUGGGGGAAUUUUCUGUGUUUAUCUGGGUGAUGCUAUUUAGUCUUGACCCUUCUUGGCAACAUUGCUAUGUCUCUAGCUGUCACAUGCUUAGGGGAGAUUAUGUGUGCCCCAGAAUUCUUACUUUGAAAACCUAACCCCUAAGACUAUUGUAUUGAGGAAGUGAGCCAUUGAGAGGUGACUAGGCUAUGAAGGCAGAGCUUUUAAUGGGAUUCGUAAAAGAGAUCCCAAUGGGCUUUCCUUCCUACCCUGUGGGAGCACAUGAGAGGCCUCUGUCUAUGAACAAGGGAGCCGGGCCUCAUCAGACCAAAUCGUCUGCCACCUUGGUCUUGGGCUUCUCAGUCUCCAAGACUGUGGGAAAUAAAUUUCUGUUGUUUAUAAGCCACCUGAUUUGUGACAUUUUGUUAUAGCAACCCCAAUAGACUAAGAUAGUUCCUAGUGACAACAGGAAGUCUAUCUUGGAGGGAAAACAAAAGCCCAAGUGAUGAUGGUGGGAUUUCUGGGUUGCAGGAUGGCAGAAACCUUAUGCCUUGUUCUAACUUCUUGACCCUGCCCUCAGAACAUGAAUUGUUGGAGUACACAAAAUCCUUAAGGGCUGG
ensembl:lncRNA